GGAUCCCAGCCGCCGCCGUAAUACGGAGGAUGCGAGCGUUAUCCGGAUUUAUUGGGUUUAAAGGGUGCGUAGGUGGGAUAUUAAGUCAGUGGUGAAAAAUUGUCGCUUAACGAUAAGUCUGCCAUUGAAACUGGUAUUCUUGAGUAUAGAUGAAGUAGGCGGAAUGCGAGGUGUAGCGGUGAAAUGCUUAGAGAUUUCGCAGAACUCCGAUUGCGAAGGCAGCUUACUAAGUUAUAACUGACACUGAAGCACGAAAGCGUGGGUAUCAAACAGGAUUAGAUACCCUGGUAGUCCACGCAGUAAACGAUGAUUACUGGGAGUUUGCGAUAGACGGCAAGCUUUAAAGCGAAAGCGUUAAGUAAUCCACCUGGGGAGUACGCCGGCAACGGUGAAACUCAAAGGAAUUGACGGGGGCCCGCACAAGCGGAGGAACAUGUGGUUUAAUUCGAUGAUACGCGAGGAACCUUACCCGGGAUUGAAAUGUGCCUGAAUGGAGUUGAAAGGCUUCAGCCGUCAAAGGCAGGCAUGUAGGUGCUGCAUGGUUGUCGUCAGCUCGUGCCGUGAGGUGUCGGCUUAAGUGCCAUAACGAGCGCAACCCUGACUGUCAGUUGCUAGCAGGUAAAGCUGAGGACUCUGGCGGGACUGCCGGCGUAAGCUGUGAGGAAGGAUGGGAUGACGUCAAAUCAGCACGGCCCUUACAUUCGGGGCGACACACGUGUUACAAUGGCACGGACAGAGAGAGGCGACCGGGCGACCGGGAGCAAAUCCCCAAACCGUGUCCCAGUUCGGAUCGGAGUCUGCAACCCGACUCCGUGAAGCUGGAUUCGCUAGUAAUCGCGCAUCAGCCAUGGCGCGGUGAAUACGUUCCCGGGCCUUGCACACACCGCCCGUAAGCUU
rnacentral:rRNA from 1 species